UGACGAUGCCACCAGCGAUUCGCCUGAGUUCUUUAAAUGACUCGGCGAGCAGCUUCCGUGAAAACAAAGUUUUUCGGUUCCGGGGGAAGUAUGGUUGCAAAGCUGAAACUUAAAGGAAUUGACGGAAGGGCACCACCAGGAGUGGAGCCUGCGGCUUAAUUUGACUCAACACGGGGAAACUCACCCGGCCCGGACACUGAAAGGAUUGACAGAUUGAGAGCUCUUUCUUGAUUCAGUGGGUGGUGGUGCAUGGCCGUUCUUAGUUGGUGGAGCGAUUUGUCUGGUUAAUUCCGAUAACGAACGAGACUCUAGCCUGCUAAAUAGCCAACUGAUCCGCAGCGUCGGUUGCUUAUAAUGCUUCUUAGAGGGACAGGCGGCUUCCAGUCGCACGAAAUUGAGCAAUAACAGGUCUGUGAUGCCCUUAGAUGUCCGGGGCCCCACGCGCGCUACACUGAAGGAAUCAACGUGCUUUCUUACCUUGGCCGGAAGGCCUGGGGAAUCCGAUGAAACUCCUUCGUGAUUGGGAUUGAGCUUUGUAACUAUCGCUCAUGAACGAGGAAUUCCCAGUAAGCGCGAGUCAUAAGCUCGCGUUGAUUACGUCCCUGCCCUUUGUACACACCGCCCGUCGCUACUACCGAUUGAAUGAUUUAGUGAGGUCUUCAGACUGGCCAUCGAAUCUGUCGCAAGACGGGCUCGUCUGGUUGGGAAGACGACCAAACUGGUUCAUUUAGAGGAAAUAAAAGUCGUAACAGUGUCUUCCGUAAGUGAACCUGCGGAAGGAUCA
rnacentral:rRNA from 1 species